ACCGGCAAACGGGUGCGGAACACGUACGCAAUCUGCCCUUAUCUUGGGGAUAGCCCAUAGAAAUGUGGAUUAAUACCCAAUAGUAUAGAAUGGUGGCAUCACCAAAUUAUUAAAGAACUUCGGAUAAGGAUGAGCGUGCGUCUGAUUAGCUAGUUGGCGGGGUAACGGCCCACCAAGGCAACGAUCAGUAGCUGAUGUGAGAGCAUGAUCAGCCACACGGGCACUGAGACACGGGCCCGACUCCUACGGGAGGCAGCAGUGAGGAAUAUUGGUCAAUGGACGAAAGUCUGAACCAGCCAUGCCGCGUGAAGGAUGAAGGCGUUCUGCGUUGUAAACUUCUUUUAUCAGGGAAGAAACCUAUUUUUUCUAAGAUAGUUGACGGUACCUGAGGAAUAAGCACCGGCUAACUCCGUGCCAGCAGCCGCGGUAAUACGGAGGGUGCAAGCGUUAUCCGGAUUUACUGGGUUUAAAGGGUGUGUAGGCGGGCAUUUAAGUCUGGGGUGAAAUCUCCGAGCUCAACUCGGAAACUGCCUUGGAUACUAUUUGUCUUGAAUUAUGUUGAGGUUGGCGGAAUAUAACAUGUAGCGGUGAAAUGCAUAGAUAUGUUAUAGAACACCGAUUGCGAAGGCAGCUGACUAAGCAUAUAUUGACGCUGAGGCACGAAAGCGUGGGUAGCGAACAGGAUUAGAUACCCUGAUAGUCCACGCCCU
rnacentral:rRNA from 1 species